UAGAAUGAUCAGGGAAGACAUGACUGAAAUGAUGCUUUCUGGGUAAAGAUUGAAGGAUAUGAGGAGAGGGUCAUGUAGCUGUUUGAUCGAAGAGCAUUCUUGGCAGAGGAAAUGCCAGGCCAAAGUCUCUAUGGCAGGACUACACUAGGAGAGAUAAAAUGUUCUACAGGAAUCAAAGCUUGUCAUUCACUCAGGCCCUCACUUGGUGGCAGUAUGUUAGAGAAGACUGCUUGUUCCAGAGCCUGGUUCUCAGCUUUGCAAUCUACAGAUGGUUCAUUCUAGCCACGUGUGCAAGGAUGUGAUAUACUAGAGUGCACAUUGAUUACUUGAACUUCCUUGAAAUAUCAUUUUCAAGACAAGACUACUAAGGACGAAUCUUCAUCAUCAUCAUCAUCAUUAACAUAAUCACAGCUGACAUUUACUGAACAUUAGCAAUGUGGUAAGCACUGCAGUAGGAGUUUUCACGUGUCUACUCAUGUAAUCCUCAAUGCAACCUUAAAGAAGACUACAAUGCCAGCAUCUGGGAUAACUACUAGAAUGUUCUCUGCCAUCCACUAAGCAUUGAAUCCCUCCAGACACUGUUACAACAGACAAAAACCUGUACUGGGCUAGAAAAAAAGUUUUAACAUGGAGAUUAUGGCUUCCACUGAACUGGGAUUUAGUAUUUCGAAACAUAUAAAAAGGAUUUCUAAAAUCAAAAGAUCUAUACUUUUUUCUCUUUCCAUCUGGAGUCAACUGAAUAUUCAACUUUUCCAUUGAACAAACAAAC
rnacentral:lncRNA from 10 species